rnacentral:rRNA from 1 species
UACAGAGGUCUCAAGCGUUGUUCGGAUUCAUUGGGCGUAAAGGGUGCGUAGGCGGCGCGGUAAGUCGGGUGUGAAAAUCUUGGAGCUUAACUCCGAAACUGGCAUUCGAUACUGCCGUGCUUGAGGACUGGAGAGGAGACUGGAAUUUACGGUGUAGCGGUGAAAUGCGUAGAUAUCGAUAAGGAAGACCAGUGGCGAAAGGCGGGUCU